GCCGCCGUGGUGAAACAGGCAUACACGAGGGACUUAAAAUCCCUUUCCUUAACCGGAGUACCGGUUCAAGUCCGGUCGGCGGCACCA
rnacentral:tRNA from 2 species